rnacentral:rRNA from 1 species
AGAGUUUGAUCCUGGCUCAGGAUGAACGCUGGCGGUAUGCUUAACACAUGCAAGUCGAACGAAGUCUUCGGACUUAGUGGCGGACGGGUGAGUAACGCGUAAGAAUCUACCUAUAGGUUCGGGACAACAGUUAGAAAUGACUGCUAAUACCGGAUAUGCCUUCGGGUGAAAGUUUUAAUGCCUGUAGAUGAGCUUGCGUUCGAUUAGCUAGAUGGUGGGGUAACGGCCUACCAUGGCGACGAUCGAUAACUGGUCUGAGAGGAUGACCAGUCACACUGGGACUGAGACACGGCCCAGACUCCUACGGGAGGCAGCAGUGGGGAAUUUUCCGCAAUGGGCGAAAGCCUGACGGAGCAAUACCGCGUGAGGGACUAAGGCCUGUGGGUUGUAAACCUCUUUUGUUAGGGAAGAUAAUGACUGUACCUAACGAAUAAGCAUCGGCUAACUCCGUGCCAGCAGCCGCGGUAAGACGGAGGAUGCAAGCGUUAUCCGGAAUUAUUGGGCGUAAAGCGUACGUAGGCUGCUAAUUAAGUCUGUUGUCAAAGCCCGAGGCUCAACCUUGGAUCGGCAAUGGAAACUGACUAGCUAGAGAGAGAUAGGGGCAGGAGGAAUUCCAGGUGUAGCGGUGAAAUGCGUAGAUAUCUGGAAGAACACCAGUGGCGAAAGCGUCCUGCUGGAUCUCAACUGACGCUGAAGUACGAAAGCUAGGGGAGCGAAUGGGAUUAGAUACCCCAGUAGUCCUAGCCGUAAACGAUGGGUACUAGGUGUUGGUCGUAUCGACCCGAUCAGUGCCGUAGCUAACGCGUUAAGUACCCCGCCUGGGGAGUACGGUCGCAAGAUUGAAACUCAAAGGAAUUGACGGGGGCCCGCACAAGCGGUGGAGUAUGUGGUUUAAUUCGAUGCAACGCGAAGAACCUUACCAAGGCUUGACAUGUCGUGAAUCCUCUUGAAAGGGAGGAGUGCCUUCGGGAGCACGAACACAGGUGGUGCAUGGCUGUCGUCAGCUCAUGUCGUGAGAUGUUGGGUUAAGUCCCGCAACGAGCGCAACCCUCGUUCUUAGUUGCCAUCAUUAAGUUGGGCACUCUAGAGAGACUGCCGGUGACAAACCGGAGGAAGGUGGGGAUGACGUCAAGUCAUCAUGCCCCUUACGCCUUGGGCUACACACGUACUACAAUGGCCGGGACAAAGAGUUGCGAGCAUGCGAAUGCAAGCUAAUCUCAUAAACCCGGUCUUAGUUCAGAUUGCAGGCUGCAACUCGCCUGCAUGAAGGCGGAGUCGCUAGUAAUCGCAGGUCAGCAUACUGCGGUGAAUACGUUCCCGGGCCUUGUACACACCGCCCGUCUCACCAUGGAAGC